GGGNGGAGCCUGAACNAGCCAUGCCGCGUGCAGGAAGACGGCCCUACGGGUUGUAAACUGCUUUUAUACGGGAAUAAACCUCAGUAUGUAUACUGAGCUGAAUGUACUGUAAGAAUAAGGAUCGGCUAACUCCGUGCCAGCAGCCGCGGUAAUACGGAGGAUCCGAGCGUUAUCCGGAUUUAUUGGGUUUAAAGGGUGCGUAGGUGGCUUAUUAAGUCAGGGGUGAAAGACGGUAGCUUAACUAUCGCAGUGCCUUUGAUACUGAUGAGCUUGAAUAUACUAGAGGUAGGCGGAAUGUGACAAGUAGCGGUGAAAUGCAUAGAUAUGUCACAGAACACCAAUUGCGAAGGCAGCUUACUAUGGUAUGAUUGACACUGAGGCACGAAAGCGUGGGUAGCAAACAGGAUUAGAUACCCUGGUAGUCCACGCCCUAAACGAUGCAUACUUGGUGUGAGCGAUUCAUUUCGUUCGUGCCGGAGCUAACGCGUUAAGUAUGCCGCCUGGGGAGUACGGUCGCAAGGCUGAAACUCAAAGAAAUUGACGGA
rnacentral:rRNA from 1 species